rnacentral:rRNA from 1 species
AUGCCCACAUCCAAGGCAUUUCUCAUCUUGGUGCUCGCCGUGCUCACUCCCAUGGCGGCGACCUCCCAGGACACGGCGACGAACCUCACCCUCCACAACCUGUGCGCGUACCCUGUGUGGCCGCUCAUCACUCCGAACAUCGGCCUCCCCGCCAUCCCCGACCUGGACGACGCCGCCAGCCGCCUCGACGGGGGCGGAGAGGGGCUCGUCACCCUGGCGUUCCCUUCCGGCGCGUGGUCCGGCCGCGUCGUGGCGCGCACCGGCUGCAGCAGCAGCGAUGACUACGACUCCUCCUCCCCCUCCUCCUCCUCGACGGCGGCGGUGGCCAGGUGCGUCACGGGCAUGCCGCCGGCGCCGGUGACGGUGGCGCAGGUGAGCGUGCACGGGUCCGGCGGGCUGGCGGAGUACAGCGUGAGCCUGGUGGACGGGUUCAACCUGCCGGUGAUGGUGACGCCGCACGGGUUCGAGCAGGGCCGGCAGUGCCCGUCCCUCGGCUGCGCCGUGGACCUCGACGUGGACUGCCCCCGCGACGCCAGGGCCCCCGCCGGCGGGUGCAGGGCCCAGGGUCAGGGGCACUUCUUCAAGGAGAGGUGCCCGGACACUCGGACGACGCCGACGGACGUGGAGGCCACGCCACAGCGCUGCCUCCAGCCCGGCGAGCUCAAGAUCGUCUUCUGCCCCGAUUCUUCCGACUAG